GCCGCCGUGGUCUAGUGGCUAGGAUACCUGGCUUUCACCCAAGAGGCCCGGGUUCGAUUCCCGGCGUCGGAA
rnacentral:tRNA from 1 species